UCUUUAGCAGAGCAGUCAGAUAAAAUAAUGACUUCAGAAACUGAGAUUCCUAAGGAAACGCACCAUGAUUACGAAGCAUGAAUGCACAGAUUUGCACACGGUGCAGCUGGAUAUCGACAACAGGAGAUUCCCAGAUUUGAGCCUUCAACCAGAUCUAAGGCACAGAGCAGAACAUUAUGACCUGUUGAGGCUUUUCUGAACAGCAGCAAAGCAGAUAAAGAAGAGAGCAGGUGUGGAAGGCAGGGAAGAACAGUGGGACUCCUUCAAGACAGGAAAAAUGCUCUCAGUCAUAGGGAG
rnacentral:lncRNA from 1 species